AAGAAAAUCAAGAAAACCACACACAAAAAAAAAAAAAAAGCAAACUUUCAGAAACAAUUCUCACAAGCUAACCUUACUUCACUCUUUGGCCGGAGAAGAUUCAGGCCAAACACUAACCUUCUCCUUCUCAUACUUAAUAUACAGAGCCCCAACCGCCGCUACAAAAUAAACCUGAAUCAACACAAUCGCCGGCGUGUGAUAAUUUAUUACUCCUUUACCCGUCGCCAGCUCCACCAAUAUCAACGCCGUUAACCCCAAAAUCGCAAUCCUUCCAUUUACCCGCUCGCUAUACUGGCUAAACCCGAACUCCACUUUCAAUCCAUCCGACGUCGCCUCCUUUAAUGGCACCGGUGGCAGGUACAUUCCAGAUCCAGAAACGGGUUUGGAUACCCCUUUUUUGGCCUUUCUGACCUCCGCUUUCUUUCCGGUUCCACUCCGAUAACGGAGUCGGAUCUUUGACAAACGGGACUCGAAUGGGUCGUCUUCGGAUUCGGGUUGGGGUUGGGGGCUGGAUUCAGGUUGGGUAUCAUCAUCGGUGGUGGCGCGGGGGAUGAAGCAGAGGUGGGGUUUGGUUUUGGGUUGAAAUGAGAGACGUGGAGAAAGAAACGGCGUCGUUGAGACUUGCGGUGAUGGUGGUGAUAGCGCUGCCAUUGAUGGCUGUGUUUUAUUUGGAAGUGUUUAUCUGGAUAAGGAACACUGCCUGGUUUACUCUUUUUAUUUAUUAGUUAUUUUUUUAAUAAUUUUUUUAUUGGAUAUAUUUUUAUGGCGGAAAUUACUUCCAAGUGAAUUGGAGAGAGGCGAUUAACGUGUAUAUUCUGUGGGGUAGUUUUGUCAUUUGAGGAUUCCAAAAUCCUUCUUCAACCUCCCUCAAGUGAGAGAUGAUGGAUUCUCAACUUUUGCAUGGCAAUGGUAGAUCUUCGAACGUUCAAAAGCAGAGGGACAAUUUCACCGAGAAAGAAGUUCAUAACAUCUUAGCUAUUUCGGUAUCUAUAUUUCUUUGUUGGGAUAGAUGGGUAUGACGUUUCUCUAUCCAUGGGAGUAUCUUGUUAAGUCAGGUUAUCAUAUUGCUAAGCAAAUCCUCUUGCCUGACUGAGAUUAGGCAAGCGGGUUAGAGUCCCUCAUCUCAAAAAGGUCAGACAGCUUUCUGGAAAAGCAUUUGGAGCCUCUCUUUCCCAAAAAAGACUUUCAAUUUUCAUCUGGAGUUUCUUAAGGGAAAGAUUGCCAAUAAGUGAAUUGCUUAAUGGAAGACUAUCUUUUCACUCCUAAGGAGUGUGCUUUUUGCGGAGAAACCGUGUAAGUAUAUUUUCUUUUCCUGUCCUAAGGCUAAAGAUUGAUGGAUUCAUUCCCCUUUGAGAUUGAGGUCCAAUGAAAUUCUGGAUUCGUUCAUUAUGGACAUCUGGAAGGAUUUAAGGAGGUACCUUUAAGGUCAAGACAAUGGUCCCAAUUUCAUAAUCCUGCUUGUCUUCCUACUUUGGCGCCACUCGAAAAGCCGAAGUCUUUGCAACUUCAGCUAAAAAGAGUUCCCUUAUAGCCAAUUUAUUCGAAGUGCCAUUGACAAUUAUGAGAACUUCAUGGAAGCCUGCUUAAUUUGGGUUCAACAUCCCAACAGGUUCAGAAUGCUUCCUUGGCCGACAAUGUGUGGCUGCCUAUUGUAGUCAACAUUAACUUCGAUGCCUCUUCUAGUAAGGGUAAAAACAUGGGCUCCAUAACUUCCAUUGCUAGAAACAAUCAAAGCCAUCUGUUUGGUUAGGUUUGCAAGUCUCAAAAGAAUAUCACUGAAGA
rnacentral:misc_RNA from 1 species